GACGAACGCUGGCGGCGUGCUUAACACAUGCAAGUCGAACGGAAAGGCCCUGUUUGCAGGGUACUCGAGUGGCGAACGGGGGAGUAACACGUGGGUGAUCUGCCCUGCAUUUCGGGAUAAGACUGGGAAACUGGGUCUAAUACCGGAUAGGAGCCAUUUUUAGUGUGAUGGUUGGAAAGUUUUUUCGGUGUAGGAUGAGCUCGCGGCCUAUCAGCUUGUUGGUGGGGUAAUGGCCUACCAAGGCGGCGACGGGUAGCCGGCCUGAGAGGGUGGACGGCCACAUUGAUACUGAGAUACUGCCCAUACGCCUCCAUGAGACAGCAGGUGAGAAGAUUUCACAAUGGGCGCAAGCCUGAUGCAGCGACCCCGCUUGGGGGAUGACGGCCUUCGGGUUGUAAACUCCUUUCGCUAGGGACGAAUCUUUUUGUAACGGUACCUAGAUAAGAAGCACCGGCUAACUACGUG
rnacentral:rRNA from 1 species